GGCCAGCGCUGUUCUUGGCUCUCUGAGUCGGCUCAGUGUUUGGUCAUCCGUAUGGAAAGCUAACUCGGCCUUCACUGGUCGGUUAGUGGAUCAUACACUUUACUUUGAAAAAAUUAGAGUGUUUCAGGCAGGCAAUUGCUUGGAUACUUCAGCAUGGAAUAAUGGAAUAGGACUUUGACCUAUUUGUUGGUUUCUUCGAGGUCAAGGUA
rnacentral:rRNA from 1 species